GAGCAGGGUGAUGGUCCUGUCCCUAAGAGUGAGGCUAUCUUCAUUCUGGACCAUCAGCCACUGGUGCCAAGCCCCUCAAGCAAGAACUCCAAGCACAUAUCCAUUAGACUGGAAAACCCAAGACUAAAGCAAGAUGCUCAGAGAUUCCGGGAAAAGACGGAGAGAAAGCUCCAGCCAAGGAAGGAAUAGGGGUGUCAGGGGGGCAAGGACAGAUGUCACACAUCUUCUCUAGAAGGACUCUGUCUAAGGAUUUGCCUGUCUCACGCGUGAGUGAUUCUCAGUGACAAGCGCGCGCACCUCUGUGACCCCCGCGGGGAGGACGGUUUCCAGCUGGGGCUGCUGCCCAGACCGACCUGAGCCAGGCUGGGAGCACAGACCCCUUGUCUCUCAAUCCUUUCUCCAAAGACAUGUGUGCUGAACUGUGUUGACGGCUGCACAACCCAGCUGAUGUAUCCUAAAGG
rnacentral:lncRNA from 12 species